rnacentral:misc_RNA from 1 species
UACCACCUGAAACUGCUGCUU